GUUAAAGUUACAGGCUGAUUUAAAGCUCUCAGAUCCCAGGAUGGUGUUUCCUGAAGCACUCUUCCCAACUCCAGGUAGACCAAGAAGAACGAUCCUCCUCUGAACCUCCAAACCAGCUGGAAGACAGAGCAGAUUAAAAACACAUUAUUGAACAGGUUGUGGUACUGAAAUGUCAGUAGACAGUAAUUUAAGGUUUUGUUGCCUAAAAUAUGUGAAGCAGCACAUUGAAGUACUGUAUGUAGUUUAUUAUCAUUGUUAGUUUUAAUGCAGCAUGUUUUAAUCUGACUUUCUAAGCUGCUCUCUCCUGAUGUUACUUUUACAAGUUUCUUCAACCAUCUGAUUUAGAAAUAAUGACCAGCUUCAGUCACUGGCUGACAUCACCCAGAGUCAUGGGGUUUUUAAUCAAUGUUGAGGAGCUCCAUCACAGUCUACCUGCUGGGUCCAGUGGUUGUUGGUCUCCAAGGUUUCUGGUCUUCAGCAGCAGAUCUUGGACUUGUUCCUGAUCUCCAUCCUCAUUGUUGAAGAGGCUUUGCUGUCCACAUGAGUGGAGAAGGGUGUGUCUGCACAGCUGGAGAUGUCUGCUUCCUCUACGACUCCGGUGUUUGUGUUUCCUUGAUGCCAAACCAAGUAGCAGCAUUUAUCUCCAUGAUGGAAGACGGCCACGAUGCUCAGGUAGGUGAUGGGAUGAACCACAGCCAGGUAGCGCUCCACACAGGUCAGGACGUGGAAGAACAUCUCUCCAUACCAGGCGACAUACACAAGAAAGGUCCCCACCAGAAGUAUCUUCAUAUGAUCACUGUAGAUCCCACAGAUCAUAAGGACAGAUCCAAAGACUCCAAUCAUCUCCAUGGUGACCAUGUUGUAGGUGAAGCUGUCAGAGUGACUCGUGGUUGCUGCUGAGGAGGUGGAGUGAUUUAGUCUCCAUUGUUGGAGACCAUGAUACAUGAUGAAGAUGCAGAGAGGGAGGAGGAGGAGGAUGUAGGUGAUACGAUAUGUGAUGUAGAUGAAGGAACCUGGUCUGGUGGUGUAACAGUUCAUGGAUGGAGACAUGAGGUUGUUGGAGGAGGGGUUUGGAUGAAGAAAGGAGCCGUUGGAGGAUGAGGAGAAGUUUACUGACAUCUGGAAGAGAAAAAGAUACGACAAUCAAAUGGGUUCAAUGUAAAAACUAUCAUCAGUUCAUUAGAGCAUCAACGUUCUGAGUGAUUGUUUCUGAGUUUCCUCACUCUGUGUCUGAUUCUGUUAGAUCCAAAUAUACUGUAGACUGUAUAUCAGUCCCACUGUCUCCAUACGUUUAAUUCAGAUAUGUUUCGUUUGCAUUAAAAACUAAAAAACCCAAAACCACACUGUGACAAUGACAAACUGAUUGUCAUUAAAACACACACCUGCUGCCAUGAUGGACAUUUUAUCCACUGCAGGAUGAGCGUAGAUCACCUCUGGAUCUGUCCUUCCUCCUUUUAUCUCCCUACAUUGAUGAGGAUGAGGAUGUUUGCUUUGUUGAAGGUAACAUUGCUCUCUCUCCCUUCUCCUCAUUUGUCAUCUCUCUCAUCCUCUGGUCUUUAUUUAUUUGUCUGUGCUGCUGUCUGUCACCCUCUUUGCUCCUUUAUUACUGUGUUUAAUUGUCACCAGAUUUUAAAAUUGAAUUUGUUAAACUGAAAAGAACAAAGAAGAGAAAUACAAACAGAAAUGAAGUUUCUGUAAUUCCAGAAGUUAAUCUGUGAUUAAUGAUUAUUUGCAUGACAGUCCAACAAGCCCUGCCUGAAACAAAACAAGAAAACUAAACCACACGUCUUCUUUUCUCAGUGAUCAUUUAUCUGCAGACUCAUAUUUGAAUGAAAUAACAAGAACAGCCGCUCUGGACUCAGUCACUUUAUCCUAUUU